rnacentral:rRNA from 1 species
GAUGAACGCUGACAGAAUGCUUAACACAUGCAAGUCGAUUCAAUUUACCUUCGGGUAUUGAGGAUGGCGGACGGGUGAGUAACGCGUAAGGAACUUGCCUCUUGGUCUGGGACAACUGUUGGAAACGACAGCUAAUACCGGAUAUUAUGAGAUUCUCGCAUGAGAAACUUAUGAAAGCUAUAUGCGCCAAGAGAGAGCCUUGCGUUCCAUUAGCUAGUUGGUGGGGUAACGGCCCACCAAGGCGACGAUGGAUAGCCGGCCUGAGAGGGUGAACGGCCACAAGGGGACUGAGACACGGCCCUUACUCCUACGGGAGGCAGCAGUGGGGAAUAUUGGACAAUGGGCCACAAGCCUGAUCCAGCAAUUCUGUGUGCACGAUGAAGGUCUUCGGAUUGUAAAGUGCUUUCAGUUGGGAAGAAGAAAGUGACGGUACCAACAGAAGAAGCGACGGCUAAAUACGUGCCAGCAGCCGCGGUAAUACGUGUGUCGCAAGCGUUAUCCGGAUUUAUUGGGCGUAAAGCGCGUCUAGGCGGAAAAAUAAGUCUGAUGUUAAAAUGCGGGGCUCAACUCCGUAUUGCGUUGGAAACUGNUUUUCUAGAGUACUGGAGAGGUGGGCGGAACUACAAGUGUAGAGGUGAAAUUCGUANAUAUUUGUAG